rnacentral:rRNA from 1 species
CCUACGGGUGGCAGCAGUGGGGAAUAUUGGGCAAUGGAGGCAACUCUUACCCAGCAAUGCCGCGUGAAUGAAGAAGGUCUUCGGAUUGUAAACUUCUUUACUGAGGGACGAAAAAAAUGACGGUACCCAAGGAAUAAGCCCCGGCUAACUACGUACCAGCAGCCGCGGUAAUACGUAGGGGGCAAGCGUUGUUCGGAAUUACUGGGCGUAAAGGGUGUGUAGGCGGGGUAGCAAGUUAGAAGUGAAAUACCCAGGGCUUAACUCAGGUGCUGCUUCUAAAACUGCUAUACUUGAGUGCAGGAGAGGAAAGCGGAAUUCCGAGUGUAGCGGUGGAAUGCGUAGAUAUUAGGAGGAACAUCAGUGGCGAAGGCGACUUUCUGGACUGUAACUGACGCUGAGGCACGAAAGUGUGGGGAGCAAACAGGAUUAGAUACCCCAGUAGUC